rnacentral:rRNA from 1 species
AAGUGGCGCACGGGUGCGUAACGCGUAUGCAACCUACCUUAAUCAGGGGGAUAGCCCGGAGAAAUCCGGAUUAACACCGCAUAAAAACACAGGAUAGCAUUAUCCAAUGUUCAAAUAUUUAUAGGAUUAAGAUGGGCAUGCGUGUCAUUAGCUAGUUGGCGGGGUAACGGCCCACCAAGGCGACGAUGACUAGGGGAUCUGAGAGGAUGACCCCCCACACUGGUACUGAGACACGGACCAGACUCCUACGGGAGGCAGCAGUAAGGAAUAUUGGUCAAUGGAGGCAACUCUGAACCAGCCAUGCCGCGUGCAGGAAGACUGCCCUAUGGGUUGUAAACUGCUUUUAUCCGGGAAUAAACCUCUUUACGAGUAGAGAGCUGAAUGUACCGGAAGAAUAAGGAUCGGCUAACUCCGUGCCAGCAGCCGCGGUAAUACGGAGGAUCCAAGCGUUAUCCGGAUUUAUUGGGUUUAAAGGGUGCGUAGGCGGCCUGUUAAGUCAGGGGUGAAAGACGGUAGCUCAACUAUCGCAGUGCCCUUGAUACUGAUGGGCUUGAAUGGACUAGAGGUAGGCGGAAUGAGACAAGUAGCGGUGAAAUGCAUAGAUAUGUCUCAGAACACCGAUUGCGAAGGCAGCUUACUAUGGUCUUAUUGACGCUGAGGCACGAAAGCGUGGGGAUCAAACAGGAUUAGAUACCCUGGUAGUCCACGCCCUAAACGAUGAACACUCGCUGUUGGCGAUACACAGUCAGCGGCUAAGCGAAAGCGUUAAGUGUUCCACCUGGGGAGUACGGUCGCAAGAUUGAAACUCAAAGGAAUUGACGGGGGCCCGCACAAGCGGAGGAGCAUGUGGUUUAAUUCGAUGAUACGCGAGGAACCUUACCCGGGCUUGAAAGUUAGUGAAUGAUUUAGAGAUAGAUCAGUCCGCAAGGACACGAAACUAGGUGCUGCAUGGCUGUCGUCAGCUCGUGCCGUGAGGUGUUGGGUUAAGUCCCGCAACGAGCGCAACCCCUAUGUUUAGUUGCCAGCACGUCAUGGUGGGGACUCUAAACAGACUGCCUGUGCAAACAGAGAGGAAGGAGGGGACGACGUCAAGUCAUCAUGGCCCUUACGUCCGGGGCUACACACGUGCUACAAUGGAUGGUACAGAGGGCAGCUACAUAGCAAUAUGAUGCGAAUCUCACAAAGCCAUUCACAGUUCGGAUUGGGGUCUGCAACUCGACCCCAUGAAGUUGGAUUCGCUAGUAAUCGCGUAUCAGCAAUGACGCGGUGAAUACGUUCCCGGGCCUUGUACACACCGCCCGUCAAGCCAUGGAAGUUGGGGGUACCUAAAGUAUGUAACCGCAAG